rnacentral:rRNA from 1 species
GAUGAACGCUAGCGGGAGGCCUAACACAUGCAAGCCGAGCGGUAUUGUUUCUUCGGAAAUGAGAGAGCGGCGUACGGGUGCGUAACACGUGUGCAACCUGCCUUUAUCUGGGGGAUAGCCUUUCGAAAGGAAGAUUAAUACUCCAUAAUAUAUUGAACGGCAUCGUUUAAUAUUGAAAGCUCCGGCGGAUAGAGAUGGGCACGCGCAAGAUUAGCUAGUUGGUGAGGUAACGGCUCACCAAGGCGAUGAUCUUUAGGGGGCCUGAGAGGGUGAUUCCCCACACUGGUACUGAGACACGGACCAGACGCCUACGGGAGGCAGCAGUGAUGAAUAUUGGUCAAUGGGUGCAAGCCUGAACCAGCCAUCCCGCGUGAAGGACGACUGCCCUAUGGGUUGUAAACUUCUUUUGUAUAGGGAUAAACCUACCCUCGAGAGGGUAGCUGAAGGUACUAUACGAAUAAGCACCGGCUAACUCCGUG